AUGCCCGUGUACCUGUAUAGGUUCAGCCAGAUGCCUGACUUCUCUGGAUGUCACAGAGUCCUGCAGCUUUUUCUCUCCUUUUCCUUUAGAGCAAAACCUGCUGUCUUCCGAAAACCUCCUGGAGACUGCAGCUGCUGCCUGCUGGCUGCUUCCAGGCAGUCACACAUCUUCCCUUCCAUGCCUUGUGUUGCGGGAGGACUGCUUACCCCUCUCCAGGCUCUCUUGCAGGUUUGUAAUGCAGAGAUGCCACAGCACCUGUCUACUCAACCAGCGGUGUCGCCCCGAUGUUUCCGGUCCUGGCUUCUGUGUUGGAAUGGACUUCCUGGACUUGGCCCCUCAGUUGGGAUAAAGAUGAGGAGUUUCUGGGAAAAUGCUUAUGGCAGCCAAAGACUUAACAGAUGGAGGGCUGCCAAGAACUGGGCUCCUGAACACCCUAACAAGGUCACAACAAAUUUCUGUGAGGUUCGGUGUCACCCACUCGUGCAGACUUCCCACCUGGCGUGUCCCCAGCUACAGAUGCAGAAACAAAGUUGAAACAAAGUUUGGCCAGCUCUCAGUCACUUCUCUCGGUGCACAACUGGAAGGUAUCAGGAUGCUACACUGGUGAGUGCAGUGAGAGGGAGCUCAGGGAGCUCAGUGGUGUGUUCGUGCGGCUUUUACUGGGUUUAGAUGUUUGUCAGUGUAACAAAAGCUGUUCCUUGGCUUCAGUACCGGGGGUAUCUUGUUUGUGAUGCUGUGAUACUCGAAACAAAGAGAUUUGUGUGCAUGCUCUGCUUUCCUAGAAGCUAACAGCAGCUCCCAGCGGCAGGCUGCCUGGCUGUUGUGUACAUGGAUGCUCUCCAGCGCUAAUGUCACCAGACUAUCAAGUCAAAACACGCUGGUGUGCACGUGGCAUCUUUAUUUACCAGUCUGAGCCCAGACAUUUCUACUGGGGAGGCACCGUGCUGACAGAAGAACUUGUUUUCUGGCAGCUGAUGAGGCGAUCCUGCUCACACGUGCCAGUCCCUCUUCAACGUGUCUAAACCAGCUUUUGGGGACACUUGAUGAAAUUUGAUGGUUUGCUCCUGCUCAGCAGUGCCAGGUGGAUUUGAACAGUGGUAUGAACUGCAUCUUCCAGCUUCCAAACCUCAGCAGGGACAUGGGGCACCUGGUGCUGCACGGCAAGCACAGAAAGCACGGGGCUGGGAACAGAGCUCACUCCCCGUGGUUAUCCAUCGGUUUGUUCACUGCUAUCUGCUGUUUUCUCAAGCACUGUGAUGUGUGGUUAGAAAUUAACACUUUCCCCUUCACUCAAUAUGAACACACCAUCAGAGAAACCCAUGUGGGUGUCCAAAAUGCGAAGGCUGAUCCAGCCGUGGGGCCUUGGGCAACUAUGAGGACCAUGAUGUAAAUGUGCAGGAGGGGCAGGCUCAGGGCAGGACCGCCCGCUGUGUUUGAGCCCGUGGGUGCCCCAGCCUGCAUGGUUGUCACACUGAGAGGAAUGUCCCAGUCCUGGCAUAAGUUACAGAAGUGUAGCUGCAGCUGACCUGGGCUUUGUGAGAAGGACCUGUGUUUUUUGUGUUGUUUCGUUGUUGUUGUUUUUUGAGAAUAUCAACCAUAAUUUGUUUUUAAUCCCAAACUCAGUGGUAGGACUGUGCUUUUAAUCCGACAGUGACUUAAAUAUCACCAUGCCGCACUGUGACCCACGUGGCACAACAAAAAACCUGUUUCCCUCCAUCUCCUCCCCAUGAAGCAUGUUUCCAUCCAGUGCAAGAGAAGCUGUGCAUUGACUCGAGCACUGUGCACCGACACUCGAUGGGCAGGACCACAGUGGCAGCUUGCUGCAGGGCUUCACAGCCUUCCCCUGAGCAGAAAAGCCCUCAGCUGGCCCCCACCUCAGCCAGGAGCAAGAUCUCAGCAUCCCUGUCUCUUCAUGUCACAGGGACAGCAGACAGAGCUGCCCAGUUGCAGGAGUGCUGUGGGCAGCCAGGUGAGAGGCUGAGGCUUUCUGCUGGAGAAGUGCAAGAAGCAGCAGAGCACGGGGCAGAGGCCGACAGCAGGAGCCUCGUGCUGCUGGUGGGAGGCCUGACAGGUUUGUUGCUCUUGCUGUCGGAAGUAGCUGCAGUUCCCAGCGCUGUGCCAAGAUCAAGGGCAAUUGGUUUUCCACCGUGUACCUGUAAAUCCCAUUCCUCCUGCGUGCAAGCCUCUAAAUCAGACAUCAGCAGAGAACAAGCUCCCAGCUGGUCACAGUAUAUAAACUAAUGAAAUAUAAAUGCCUGGUAUGAAAGGCAAGCGUGGUCUCUAGUUGCCACUGCUGAAUAAAAUGGUUGAUGGGAUUUUCCGUCA
ensembl:lncRNA